rnacentral:lncRNA from 1 species
CACUGGUGUGUCAGGGACAGCUCCAGGGUCUCGUGUCCUGGGGAAUGGAACGUUGUGCUAUGCCUGGCUACCCAGGGGUCUACACCAAUCUGUGCAAUUACCACAGCUGGAUCCAGAGGACAAUGCAAAGCAACUGAUCAUCCAUUACCAUCUGAUCAUCACCAGCUGUCUCUGUACUUUCACGGCCUCCUCCAUCAGACACUUGAGUCCUUCCCAACACUCUAAGGUCCUCUUUAGCCCUCCUUCUUCACUUAAGACUCCAACCUUUAGCCUCUUCCCUCAGACCCAAGCCCCCAGGCUCCUCCCUCAGACCCAAUAUCCUUUCCCUUAUUCCAGGCUCCACCUUCCUUUCCAGGGUCUUGGCUCUGGAAUCUUUCUCACAGCUUGUUGUCACAGUUUGAGACUCACUGAGCCCAGAGGCUGGAGUACAAAUGCUCUGGGUCAAUAUCAUCAUCCAAAGAAGGCUGCUUCCAAAACUCUGUCUCUAAAAUCCAAAUAAAUAAAAACAAAAAUGGACUCUCCCUA